ACGGUCAUCAAUUACUCUCUCACACUUCUUUCUCUCUCUACAAUGGCCAUGGCUUCCUUCUCCAAACUCUCUAUACACUUGUUCCCUCUUCAUACUCACACACUAAGCAACAUCUACCACUACAACCACUCCUCUCUGCCAAGCUUCACCAUCACAACCCGCCAUGGAACUUUCAUCUUCUUCUCUUCCAAGCUCAAAUAUUGCUCUGCACCCAUUUUCACGCCCGCACAUUUGCUCCAUUCUCCGGCCACCGCAGUUUUCUCAUCCCGGAAUAGCGGUGGAUCCACAGGGAGUGGUGGCAGAGGCGGCGGCGACAGCAAUGACAACGGUGGUGAAGAGGAGGAAAGGGACCGCAACAGGGAAGAGGCCAUGCUGCUGCUGGGGGAGGCCGGCAGGUCGCUGGAGAGUUUUCCGGCGGAUUUAGCGGCAGCUAUUACGGCGGGGCGGGUGCCGGGUUCGAUAGUGCGGAGGUUCUUUGAGUUGGAGAAGUCGGAUGUGUUCCGGUGGCUGCUGAAGUUCGGAGGGUUUAAGGAAAGGUUGCUAGCAGAUGAUUUGUUCUUAACUAAGCUUGUCAUGGAAUGUGUUGUUGUCAUCUUCACAAAGGCUGCUGCAGAAUUGGAACGGCGUAAAGAAAAUUUCACUAAGGAGAUGGAUUUCGUUGUUGCUAAUGUGGUAACAGGCAUUGUAACAGGUUUUGUGCUUGUGUGGUUUCCUGCUCCCACUGUUUCUCUCAAACGUCCUCUUGCAUUUAGUGCUGGACCAAUUGCUAAAUUCUUCUAUGGCUGUCCUGAAAAUGCUUUUCAGGUAGCUUUGGCUGGGACAUCAUAUACACUUCUACAGAGAAUAGGUGCUAUAGUGCGCAAUGGAGCAAAGCUAUUUGUAGUUGGCACCAGUGCUUCACUGGUUGGUAUAAGUAUAACAAACGCAUUGAUCAGUGCACAGAAGGUUGUUAAUAAAACAUUUGCUGCUGAGGCUGAGAAUUUACCUGUAAUAUCAACCAGUGUAGCAUAUGGAAUUUACAUGGUGGUAGUAAGCAACCUCAGGUACCAAGUACUUGCUGGAAUAAUUGAGCAACGGAUUCUAGAACCAUUGUUACAACGAAACAAGCUUAUACUAACAGCAGCGUACUUUACUGUUAGAACUGGCAAUACUUACUGGGGCUCACUAUUAUGGGUGGAUUUUGCUCGAUGGGUUGGAGUCCAGAAGAUAAAGGAUUAAGCAUUAUUUUGCAUAACAGGAUAUUGUUCGGUUAAAGCUUGGGUACAUUGGUUCAUUGAUAGAACUCCAAAUUGUACAGUUGUUCCCAUGGCUGGCCGUAGAAGAUCGUCUAGCACUGGAAAUGAGAGACGACAAGCUACGACAAGACCGUCCGUCUUCGUCAAGGCCACAAGAGGAAGACCCCGCUGCUGUCGACCUCCCAUUCGGAUACUUGUUCGAGAAUGACCCGGUGGUUCAUGAAUCUUUUGUCCGUGACUUUGUUAACCGACCGAUUUG